AAUAGCAAUAUGUAAGACACAAAUGA
rnacentral:piRNA from 1 species